AUCUUGUUGAGCAGUUUCUCAAGUACAUGUACGAGAAGUUGGAGCAGGAUCCAACAUGGCAGCAUUCGAACGAGCGACAACUAAUGGAUGCCCAGCAGGCUGUAGAACGUAGCCUGAUGUCACAAAUCUACAUCUACGCCAUUUAUCCAAACGGCGACGGUGACAUUCUGAGAGAUCAGUUGCUCCAGGAACACAUAAAGAAACUAUCAAAGGUCAUAACACCAAACCACAGAGACUU